rnacentral:rRNA from 1 species
UGAACGCUGGCGGCGUGCCUACUACAUGCAAGUCGCGCGAACAGACGCGGAGCUUGCUCCUCUGACGUUAGCGGCGGACGGGUGAGUAACACGUGGAUAACCUACCUAUAAGACUGGGAUAACUUCGGGAAACCGGAGCUAAUACCGGAUAAUAUAUUGAACCGCAUGGUUCAAUAGUGAAAGACGGUUUUGCUGUCACUUAUAGAUGGAUCCGCGCCGCAUUAGCUAGUUGGUAAGGUAACGGCUUACCAAGGCAACGAUGCGUAGCCGACCUGAGAGGGUGAUCGGCCACACUGGAACUGAGACACGGUCCAGACUCCUACGGGAGGCAGCAGUAGGGAAUCUUCCGCAAUGGGCGAAAGCCUGACGGAGCAACGCCGCGUGAGUGAUGAAGGUCUUCGGAUCGUAAAACUCUGUUAUUAGGGAAGAACAAAUGUGUAAGUAACUAUGCACGUCUUGACGGUACCUAAUCAGAAAGCCACGGCUAACUACGUG